GUUCUUAUUCGCUGACAUUUGUUUUCUAAUUGCGUGAAAUUUGGUCAUUUCCUUAGUGUUUUCCUAACCGACCUGUGCUGGUAUUGUGAUUAAGAGCUAAUGCACAUUUUUCGGACGAUUCUGCUGUGCUGCGUUCCUGCUCCGCCUGUAUAUUAUAGUGUUGCGUUCCUGUUGCGCCUUUGCAUUAGUGUGUGCGUUGUGAUUUAGACACGUUGAAAUUUUUUGUAUGCUUCUGCUGUGCUGCGUUCCUGCUCCACCCGUGUAUUAGAUUGCUGCGUUCCUGUUAGCAUACAUAUCAUCGCUUAAAGUACAAAACCGCGUAACUGACAUUUGCUGCUAUAAAUUGGAUUCGCUCACACACGUUUUUGGCUCAAUCCUUAUCCAUUCUUCCUGAAAUAUACUAGCCAAAAAUGCGAUUGCUUUUUACAAAAAGAUAACCAUUUUGAAAUGUGAGUGUUUUUACUCUCUAGAAAUAAAUUUAUGCAACCUCGCAUACGUGGGUUUGCAUUAUCUCUAUACGCGGUUUUGCAAUUUAUUGAUACAUGGUUUUGUACUUUAACCGACGAUAUGUAUGUAGAUGUAUGUACAUGCCCUGCAAACCAAAGUUCCCGAAAUCUUAAGGAUAUCGUUAGAAUUAUCUCGUUUCUGUAACGAUUUUUUUACGAAUUUUCAAAGAAAAUUAUAUGAAGUGGUU